GUCAGGACAGUUCAUUGCUCUGGCAUCUGCAAUAACUUCAAAAUGGAUAUCGCUGUACACUUUACGGUUUCAUCCUUACCACAAAGCCUAAAGGAUUAAACUUUGGAACAAUUAUUUGCUUACUACAUAAGAAGCCUUGUGUGGCUGUAUUCAAAGCACCCUAUCAGUCAAUACAUUCGUUUUACAAGCAUGUCAACUUCUGCUACGCCUUCAUCAAGCUCAAUGGAGUGAUCUCCAGUUACAGAACAGCACUGUGCUCCUAGGGUGCAUUAAUGCUUUUCAUAAAACAAUUCAGCCUCACUUCAUUACAUGGUAAUGCUAUUUUUUUUGUUAGUAUCACGGUCAGUAGAGCAGGUACUCAACAAGAACGGGUCAGGAAAUGGUAUAGAGGCCGACUCAGGAACAAGGGCCCACACUGAGCAGCUAUGCACAUUCAUAGCCUUUAUAAGGAACCAUAACUAAUGUGAUAAUGAGAAGAACAGAGUUACAGUGCAUAG